rnacentral:rRNA from 1 species
GGAUAAUCUACCCUUAGGACCGGGAUAACCCUGGGAAACUGGGGCUAAUACUGGAUAGGCAAUUUUUCCUGCAAUGGUUUUUUGUUUAAAUGUUUUUUCGCCUAAGGAUGAGUCUGCGGCCGAUUAGGUAGUUGGUUAGGUAAUGGCUUACCAAGCCGUUGAUCGGUACGGGUUGUGAGAGCAAGAGCCCGGAGAUGGAACCUGAGACAAGGUUCCAGGCCCUACGGGGUGCAGCAGGCGCGAAACCUCCGCAAUGUGAGAAAUCGCGACGGGGGGAUCCCAAGUGCCAUUCUUAACGGGAUGGCUUUUCAUUAGUGUAAAGAGCUUUUGGAAUAAGAGCUGGGCAAGACCGGUGCCAGCCGCCGCGGUAACACCGGCAGCUCUAGUGGUAACAAUUUUUAUUGGGCCUAAAGCGUCCGUAGCCGGUUUAAUAAGUCUCUGGUGAAAUCCUGUAGCUUAACUGUGGGAAUUGCUGGAGAUACUAUUAGACUUGAGACCGGGAGAGGUUAGAGGUACUCCCAGGGUAGAGGUGAAAUUCUGUAAUCCUGGGAGGACCGCCUGUUGCGAAGGCGUCUAACUGGAACGGUUCUGACGGUGAGGGACGAAAGUUAGGGGCGCGAACCGGAUUAGAUACCCGGGUAGUCCUAACUGUAAACGAUGCGGACUUGGUGUUGGGGUGGCUUUGAGCUGCUCCAGUGCCGAAAGGGAAGCUGUUAAGUCCGCCGCCUGGGAAGUACGGUCGCAAGACUGAAACU